rnacentral:misc_RNA from 1 species
GAUGAAGAACGUAGCGAAACGCGAUAAGUAAUGUGAAUUGCAGAAUCCAGUGAAUCAUCGAAUCUUUGAACGCACAUUGCGCCCGCCAGCAUUCUGGCGGGCAUGCCUGUUCGAGCGUCAUUUCAACCCUCGACCUCCCCUUGGGGAGGUCGGCGUUGGGGACCGGCAGCACACCGCCGGCCCUGAAAUGGAGUGGCGGCCCGUCCGCGGCGACCUCUGCGCAGUAAUACAGCUCGCACCGGGACCCCGACGCGGCCACGCCGUAAAACACCCAACUUCUGAACGUUGACCUCGAAUCAGGUAGGACUACCCGCUGAACUUAAGCAUAUCAAUAAGCCGGAGGA